rnacentral:rRNA from 1 species
UACGGAAGGCAGCAGUGGGGAAUAUUGCACAAUGGGCGCAAGCCUGAUGCAGCCAUGCCGCGUGUAUGAAGAAGGCCUUCGGGUUGUAAAGUACUUUCAGUCGUGAGGAAGGUGUUAAGGUUAAUAACCUUAGCAAUUGACGUUAGCGACAGAAGAAGCACCGGCUAACUCCGUGCCAGCAGCCGCGGUAAUACGGAGGGUGCGAGCGUUAAUCGGAAUUACUGGGCGUAAAGGGCACGCAGGCGGUUAAUUAAGUUGGAUGUGAAAUCCCCGGGCUUAACCUGGGAAUGGCAUUCAAGACUGGUUAGCUAGAGUCUUGUAGAGGGGGUUAGAAUUCCAUGUGUAGCGGUGAAAUGCGUAGAGAUGUGGAGGAAUACCAGUGGCGAAGGCGGCCCCUGGGACAAAGGCUGACGCUCGAUGUGCGAAAGCGUGGGGAGCAAACAGGAUUAGAUACC